GACGAACGCUGGCGGCGUGCCUAAUACAUGCAAGUCGAGCGGACUUUCCAGAAGCUUGCUUUUUGAAAGUUAGCGGCGGACGGGUGAGUAACACGUGGGCAACCUGCCUGCAAGACGGGGAUAACUCCGGGAAACCGGGGCUAAUACCGGAUAAUAUCUUCCUUCGCAUGAAGGAAGGUUGAAAGGCGGCGCAAGCUGCCGCUUGCAGAUGGGCCCGCGGCGCAUUAGCUAGUUGGUGAGGUAACGGCUCACCAAGGCGACGAUGCGUAGCCGACCUGAGAGGGUGAUCGGCCACACUGGGACUGAGACACGGCCCAGAGUCCUACGGGAGGCAGCAGUAGGGAAGCGUCCGCAAGGGACGAAAGUCUGACGGAGCAACGCCGCGUGAGCGAAGAAGGUCGUCGGAUCGUAAAGCUCGGUUGUCAGGGAAGAACAAGUACCGUUCGAACAGGGCGGUACCUUGACGGUACCUGACCAGAAAGCCACGGCUAACUACGUG
rnacentral:rRNA from 1 species